AUCUUCCAGAAGGUCCCAGAGCAGCAUCCACACCUCCUGAAAAGACCAAGAUGUGAAGUGUCUGCUGUUGAUUCCAGCUUCCACCUCAGUGACAGUGCAAGCUCAGUGAACUGUUCAAGGAGGCUACUGAUUCUGGCCCUGUGACACUUGGUGGUGACGUGUGAGCUGAUUCACCUGGACACUCAGCAAAAUAUGGACUCUACACCAUGAGGCAGGCACACGUUAAUAACUCUAUAAGAGCACAUAAGCAUGAGGAUGUCCUCACACACCUGUCAUCUGGUUAUGACAGCAUGAGGAUGUCCUCACACACCUGUAACCUAUCAGCUCAUCUGGCAGAAUAGAGAGAGAAGAGACAACACCACAUCUCCUGUUCCUGGAAAGCCUUCAGCCAUCCUUCGACUGAGAACCUCCAUCAGCUCUGUCUCCUGUCUGCCUACAAUUAUUAUAAUAAAUAUUGUGUUUGACAAGUUUUUUGUGCUGCCAAAU